rnacentral:misc_RNA from 1 species
GAUGAAGAACGUAGCGAAAUGCGAUACGUAGUGUGAAUUGCAGAAUUCCGUGAACCAUCAAAUCUUUGAACGCAUAUUGCGCUCGAGGCUUCGGCCGAGAGCAUGUCUGCCUCAGCGUCGGUAUUACCCCUCGCUUCUCAACCCCUGGUUGAUGCCUGCCUGCCUUUGCAGUUGGCUAGAAGCGGAUCUGGCUUUCCCAAUUGCCUUUGGUAGUUGGGUCAGCUGAAGCACAGAGGCUUGAGCAAGGACCCUUAUUGGGCUUCAACUGGAUAGGUAGAACUGGUCUUAGGACCAACUACACUAAGUUGUUGCUUGUGGUCUUUGUCUGGAGGCCAGCAGGAAACCUUUAUACCUUCGACCUGAGCUCAGGCAAGAUUACCCGCUGAACUUAAGCAUAUCAAUAAGCGGAGGA